GAUGAACGCUGGCGGCGUGCCUAAUACAUGCAAGUCGAGCGAAUGGAUUAAGAGCUUGCUCUUAUGAAGUUAGCGGCGGACGGGUGAGUAACACGUGGGUAACCUGCCCAUAAGACUGGGAUAACUCCGGGAAACCGGGGCUAAUACCGGAUAACAUUUUGAACCGCACGGUUCGAAAUUGAAAGGCGGCUUCGGCUGUCACUUAUGGAUGGACCCGCGUCGCAUUAGCUAGUUGGUGAGGUAACGGCUCACCAAGGCAACGAUGCGCAGCCGACCUGAGAGGGUGAUCGGCCACACUGGGACUGAGACACGGCCCAGACUCCUACGGGAGGCAGCAGUAGGGAAUCUUCCGCAAUGGACGAAAGUCUGACGGAGCAACGCCGCGUGAGUGAUGAAGGCUUUCGGGUCGUAAAACUCUGUUGUUAGGGAAGAACAAGUGCUAGUUGAAUAAGCUGGCACCUUGACGGUACCUAACCAGAAAGCCACGGCUAACUACGUGCCAGCAGCCGCCGUAA
rnacentral:rRNA from 1 species